rnacentral:lncRNA from 1 species
GACCCAUUUCAAGCCCAUCACGGCGAAGGGGGAAGGGUUCAUGAGCUCCCACCAUUAACUGAGGAGCUCUGGACAGUUGGUCGCUUCUGGGAUAAAGAGAGUCCGUUUUCUUUAAAUGUGUAGACCAUGGUAUGUUCAGGUGAGACACAGCAGCAGGCAGAGCUGUGCCCACCGAGGGAUCACUAGCCCUGAACCUCUAAGGAUGGUGGUGAGCCUCUAGUCAUGGCUGGGUUGUUUGCAGGCUUCAGUUUCCACUGAAACAAGAUGAAUUAAGAGAGACAUUGGAUCUGAUUGAACAGGUUUGCUUUCACAUAGCUGCACCAUCUAUGGUUGAGGGACAUCUGGACUGCUUCCAGUUUUUGACUAUUACAAAUAAGACUGCUAAGAAAAUAGUGGAGCACGUGUCCUUGUGAUAUGGUGGAGUAUCUUUUGGGUAUUUGCCCAGGAGCAGGAUAGCUGGGUCUUCAAGUAUAACUAUUUUCUUGAAGCUCAAUCUUCUGGAGAGUAUUUAAAGGUGGAAGGGAACAGCAUAUCUCAAAUGGUUGGUGGUGGUAGCCUGAGAGGGGUGGGGACAGAGUCCUCACCAGAAAGUACACAUGUGUAGAUUCCCCUUUUAUCUUGAACAUAGAAGUCAAGAUUUGCUGAGAGAAAGCAGGAAAUAUCAGCCUGCAAUCAAUUUUCUCUGGUAUUGCAAAGAACAACGGGUAUCAAAUCAAUAAAAUAUGAUGAAACCAUAUGCUCAUUAUUCAAAGGGUACCUCUCAGUAAAGCUGGAGAUGCCUAAACCUGACUUCCCAAAUAAAAGCACAAGCUUAGAUGAGGACGGAGUGGGAAAAAGCAUCUGUCAAAGAAUAAUUCUUAAUAUGUACUGUGUGGGAAUUGCCCAGAGCCCAUUUUUAUGUUCCGAAGAGCUGCACCAAGAUACCUGAUGCUUUAAAAAGCUGUUUACAAUGUUUUUCUUAGGAAAUUUUAGAGUUAUGUUU